rnacentral:rRNA from 1 species
AUGGCGUCAGUAGUAAUGAUAGUAGUAGUGCUGCUAUUUUUGCUGGCUGCCGGAGCAGCGGCGGCGGCUGUCCCGAUGAGUCCGGCUCCGAGGAUCGGGAUGCCCGGCUGUGAGACGUCGUGCGGCGACGCGGAGGUGCCGUACCCGUUCGGCAUUGGCCCGGACCCCGGCUGCUUCCUGCACCAGCCGGGGUUCAACCUCACCUGCGACCGCACCCACGACACCCCGCGCCUGCUUCUCCCCGUCUCGGGAGCAGGCGUUGGCAAAGACCUGUAUCUCCGGGUCGAGGGCAUCGACAUCGAGUCCUCCAUGAUGGUGGUAUUCCACACCGUCCACUUGAGCACCACUGGGUCCGACGACCUAAUCCUGAGGCUGAGGGGGGCCUUCAGGCUGUCCAGCCGCAACGAGCUCGUCCUAACCGGCUGCAACGUGCAGUCGACGCUGCUGGGGAAGAUGAAGGGCAACGCCACCGCCACGGUUGAGGACGGACUAGCCGCGGAAGUAUGGUACGACGUGAAGCUCAGCUGGUUCGGUCGAGACGUGAGCGCGGACAAGGCGCGAGCCCCAGCCCAUGCGUUCGUCGCCGUGGAAGGCUGGUUCGACUACUGGCUCUCCAACUCCACGAAUGCUACCACGCUGGAUGCUCCCGUUCUUCUGGACUACUACCUCAGCGGCGACUGCGCCAACAAUCCAUGCAGGAGCAACCACAGCGACUGCUCUACACCGUCAGGGGGGACAUAUAUAUGCGAGUGCAAAUCUGGGUACGAAGGUAACCCCUACGUCCCCGACGGCUGCCAAGUUUCCAAGUGUUUGGGGUGCUACGGUGGUUGCACCAUCAUCAAAGGAAAUGCCGUGUGCCAGUGCCCUCCAGGACAACACGGCAACGCUGCCAUGCCCGGUGGAUGCGGCGUCGAUCGUACCCACGCACGAAACUGCACGAGGUAUUGCGGUGACGUCCACGUGCCAUUCCCGUUCGGCAUCCAAGGCACGGACCCUGCCAGUUGCUAUCAUCCUGGGUUCAAUCUCACCUGCGACAAAACCAAUAACCCGCCACGGCUGCUCCUGGGUGACGGCGGCCAGCUCCGCGUCGAGAAGAUCAACCUAGACAACGCCACCGUGGGAGUUGUCUACCCCGGAGCUUUCCUAAACAACUCGGACAUGGAUCGUUACACCUUUGUUUUCCGGGACCAAGGCAUCCCAAGUGCCGGCGAGGCGCCCUACUCGCUCUCGGCCAGCAACGAGCUGAUCCUCACGGGGUGUGAUGUGCAGGUGGUGAUGCUCGGGCACCGCAGCGACAACAACCAGGACAUACUUGGCAGAUGCAUCUCCUUAUGCACCGUGGACUUCGGUGAAGAGCCCGAAGUCAGCAACAUCACCCGCCGAGGGCGGCAACGGAGCACCAACGGCAAGUAUUGCUACUGCACGGGCUGCUGCCAGACACACAUCUCCCAGGACUCCACAGGCGGCAUGCCCAAGCAAUUGAGCAUGCGUCCCCUCGUGGAGAAGAGCUGGUUCGCCGAGUCAUCGCAGCCCGCGCUGGCGUUUGUCGCCACGGAGGGGUGGUUCGAUAACCUGGGUUUCUCCGGCAAGCUGGACCCCGUCCAUAAGCAGCCACCGGCCAUUGAGGUGCAGGAGGUGCCCAUCAUUCUACAGUGGGAGGUCAUGUCCGAUAAACCCAACUGUAAUACAUCCGGCAAUAUCUGCAAGAAGCACAGCCGCUGCAAGGAAGGGGACAGAGGCUAUACAUGCCACUGCAAAGAUGGCUAUGACGGCAAUCCCUACAUCAACGACGACCAAGGAUGCAAAGCUCGAGGUGCAGGCCGCAACAACACAAUAAUUAUAGGCGUUGGAGUGGGCCUUGCCACUGCAGUGGGCCUCAUUAUUUGUGUUCUCCUUGGACACUUUGCCACCAAAAAAGUUAAACAUAGAAGGGCACUCAUGUUGAAACGGAAGUUCUUUGAGCAAAAUCGUGGGCAACUGCUACAACAAUUGGUAUCACAGAGAGCUGAUAUUGCUGAAAGAAUGAUUAUACCCUUAGAAGAGCUAGAGAAGGCAACAAACAAUUUUGAUAAAGCCCGUGAGCUUGGUGGUGGAGGGCAUGGUAUAGUCUAUAAAGGUAUUUUGUCAGACCUCCAUGUCGUAGCCAUCAAAAAACCAAAGAAAGUUCUGCAGAGGGAGAUUGAUGAGUUUAUUAAUGAGGUUGCUAUCCUAUCACAAAUCAACCAUAGAAAUGUGGUAAAGCUAUAUGGUUGUUGCCUUGAAACAGAAGUACCAAUGUUAGUCUAUGAAUUCAUACCCAACGGAACCCUUUAUGAUCAUCUUCACAUCGAUGGACCAAGAUCGUUGUCAUGGGAACAUAGGCUACGGAUCGCAAUUGAAACCGCCAAAUCUCUAGCUUAUCUUCACUCAACAGCUUCAGUACCCAUCAUUCAUAGGGAUGUGAAGUCAGUUAACGUGCUUUUGGAUGACACUCUAACAGCAAAGGUAGCAGACUUUGGAGCUUCAAGAUACAUUUCGGUUGAGAAAUCAGGGUUAACAACAGUGGUUCAAGGUACAAUAGGAUAUUUAGAUCCUAUGUAUUUCUACACGGGGCGGCUAACAGAGAAAAGUGAUGUCUACAGCUAUGGUGUCAUGCUCGUAGAACUGCUGACUAGGAAGAAACCAUCUUCAUACUUGUCUUCUAAUGGGGAGGGCCUAGUUGCACAUUUUGUCACCUUGUUUGAAGAGGGAAAUCUGUCAGAUAUUUUAGAUCCACAAGUUACAGACGAGGGGGGCAAAGAAGUUGGAGAAGCCAUUGCACUUGCAAUAGCAUGCAUAAAACUAAGAGGAGAAGACCGUCCGGAUAUGAGGCAAGUGGAGUUGACGUUGGAAGGCCUUCGACCAAUAGUGGAGCACGGUUUGGCUGACGAAGCUGAGAUAGAUAGUAUUGUGACAAAUUCUCCUUUGGCCAUAGAUGGAAGAAGCAACGAGGGAUCGUCCAGAUAA